UACGGAGGGGGCUAGCGUUGUUCGGAAUUACUGGGCGUAAAGCGCACGUAGGCGGCUUUGUAAGUUAGAGGUGAAAGCCCGGAGCUCAACUCCGGAAUUGCCUUUAAGACUGCAUCGCUCGAAUCAUGGAGAGGUGAGUAGAAUUCCGAGUGUAGAGGUGAAAUUCGUAGAUACCGGAAGGAACACCAAUAGCGAAGGCAAUUCACUGGACAUCACCUGACCCUCAGGGACGAAAGCGUGGGGAGCGAACCGG
rnacentral:rRNA from 1 species